rnacentral:snRNA from 1 species
AUACGUCCCCCAUCGGGGGACCACAUAUUAAACGGAUUUUUGGAACAGGGAGCUGGAUCAGGAGCUUGCUCCGUCCUCUCCACGCAUCGGCCCGGUAUUCCAGCGCCUCCGGGAGCGGUGCACCACCU